CUCCCCCCAGGCAAGUGGCUGGCUGGAGCUCGCUAGCUGGCACACACACGCUCACACAAGCACGCAGGCGCACUUUCCUUCCGGAAGAGCCCCGGGAAAGGCACGCAGGGUCAGAAGCCUCCUUCCACUGCCUAACCUGUUCAGUCAGAUCCCAGCUUCUUCCUGCUGCGGCACCUUUGCCCAGGCUUCCUGCCACCGCACAGCUGCAGCCCCGGAGGACAACUGUCGCCAUGCCCGCACAGGCAGCAGGGGACUCCCCAGGAUGGGGAAGGGGACUCAAGGCAAGAAGUCCUUCUCUUCUUUGGGGGACCCGGUUUUCAAUCAUGACAAUGUUUGUGAGUCCCUGGAUGAAGGCAUAGCUGGACGCCCAUGGCUCAUUCUGCACACAGUAUCACAUCGCAGCUUUCUGGAGGUCCCUAUCACCCCAGGCUGGGCCAUGACGAUUGGCACUGCCACGCACCUGAGACAUUCCAGGGAGGACAGGCAGGGGGAGAACCGUGCCUGUUCUCACCAAGACCACAAUUUGGAAUACCCCUUCUGCAAGUCAAGUUGAAAGGAGAGAAAUGAGAAACUACAAUCCACCUUCCGGGGGGUGGGGGGGGGUGGGGGGGGUGAUCCAUCUCACGGACAUGUGGCCAACUCCCCCAGUUCCCACUGCUCUGGGCGAGUCACUCCCAGCAGUGCUGAGCAAUUCUUAACACUUGACCCACUUUUAGUUCUUUUUUGGACUGUUUUCUCCAAAGCAUACAAUCAUGGGAUUAUUGUUUUCUUCUGAAAUGAGCUUUCUCACUUAAGACUCUCCACUUCUAGGCUGCCUGAAAUUUAUGCUGUGUGUGAAAAAAUUAAAUUUAUAGUAAGUGACACAGA